UAGAAUUAUGUAUACUGAUGAUCAGUAUUACCAAAAAAUACAAAAAUAUUUCUAAAUAUUUUUCCAAAUGUUUCCUAUUCUAAGUUCUGUUUUCAAAUCUUAAAGUAAAUACGUAAACACUAUAAUCUGCACUUUAUACUAUGUUUGCUAUACUCUUUCUUUCUUUCUUUUUUCUUUCUUUUUUCUUUUUUUUUUUCUUUUUGGCUUGACCAACAGAAAUUUAUUUCUCACAGUUCUGGAGGCUAGAAGUCUAAGACCAAGGUUGUCAUCAGGGCUGGUUUCUUUUGAGGUCUCCUUGGCUUGUAGAUAGAUAUCUUCUCCCUGUACCUUUUGUUUUUCCAGCUUUAUUGAGAUAUAAUUGAUAUAUAACAUUGUGUAAGUUUAAGGUAUACAAUGCAUUGAUUUGAUGAACUUACAUAUAGCAAAAAGAUUACCACCAUAGCAUUAGCUAAUACCUAUAUCCUAUCACAGAAUUAUCAUUUUUUUUUUUUUUUUUGGUGAGAACAUUUAAGAUCUACUCUCUUAGCAACUUUAAAUUAUAUAAUACACUAUUAUUAAUUGUGAUCACCAUGUUGUACAGUAAAUCCCCAGAACUCACUUAUAACAGGAAGUUCUCUGACCAACAUCUCCCCAUUUCCUCCACCCCCAAUCCCUAUCAACCAUCAUCCAACUCUCUGCCUCUAAUAGCUCAGCUCGUUUAGAUUUCACAUAUAAGUGAUAUCAUAUAGUAUAUGUCCCUGUCUUUCUGUCUUAUUUCACUUAGCAUAAUGACCUCAAGGUCCAUCCAUGUUGCCACAAAUGGAAGGAUCUCCUUUCUCAUGGCUGAAUAAUAUUUCACUACAUACGCACAUCUUCCUUAUCUAUUCCUCUGUUGAUGGACAUCUAGGUGGUUUCCAUGUUUUGGCUUUGUGAAUAAUGCUGCAAUGAACAUGGGAGUGCAGAUGUCUCUUUGAAAUCCUGCCUCCUCCUUUGGAACAGUGCACAAGGGCCGGCCCCCUUUUCUUCACUUCCUCAUCAGUACUUGCUAUUUCUUAUAUUCUUCAUAUUAGCCAUUGUCACUGGUGUUAAGUGACAUCUCAUUGUGGUUUUCAUUUGCAUUUCCUUGAGGAUUAGUUGAUCUGGAACAUCCUUUCAUGUAUCUGAUGACCAUAUGUAUGUCCUUUGGAAAAAUGUCUUUUCAGAUCCUCUGCCCAUUUUUUUUAAUCUUUUUUUUUUUUUUUUUUUUUUUUUUUUUUUUUUUUAAGUAAGCUCUACACUCAGUGUGGCACUUGAACUCAUGACGCCAAGAUCAAGAAUCUAAUGCUCUAUGGACUGAGCCAGCCAGGUGCUCCUCCUCUGCCCAUUUUAAAAUCAGACUAUUUGGUUUUUUGUUAUUGAAAUUUGCCAUACUCAUAAAUCAAACUUCAGCUCUAAUAGAAAGCUUAAUCUGACAGAAAUCUUGAUUAAAUUUUAGAGAUUGUUUUUACUCAUCUUCAUCUCCCAUAGAAAGACUCUGCUUUGGUUAGACUUAUCAGAGCCAUAGCCAGGGGUUUCUGGCUAUUUGGUCAAGACCUGGGAUCUCUCUUCUUUGAUGUUCUGCAGCUCUUUCCUCAGUCUUACAUUUUUUGGGUCACUUCUAAUCCUAAAAAGAAACACCCUUGGUUUAGAUAGUGUGUACAAUAGAAAAUAAUGGUGAUGAUGAAACUAAUAUUUAUAGAAUUCUUCCCAUAUUGCAGGCAAUAUGUAAUACAGAGUUUAGUUUUCACAGCAGUCCUAUGAAGCAAAGUUACUGUUAUGAUUCCCAUUUUACAGAUAAAAGAACAGGCACAGAGAAAUUAAGACAUUUGUCUAAUAAAUAUCUGUCUUUAGACUCCACACUCUAAACCACUAAAUUUGUUAGAGUGGGGGAAGUAGGCCAGAAAGUUGCAAGAGCAGUUAAUUGCUUAUUUUAGUGUAAAUUACAUGUACUGGUGACUCCUGUUAGUAGAAAUAUUAGGAAAAUAUAAUAUGAAGUCCACUAAUUGAGGCUGUUAUCUUAGCGUAACAGACUGUUUCCAUCCAAGAAUAUGACAUAGAGAAGUUGCCCAACUUCCAAAGAUUUAUAAUAUCGAAUAAAAUUCAGCUAAACUAUGAUUUUACAAAAAUGACUAACAUCUUUCUUUUUAUUAAGAGUGCUUUCUUUUCUGGAUUAUACCACCACACAUCUUGCCGCAGAAGACGACAAGGAAAUGACAUAGGGUUGAGGAAAAGGCAGGGGGAUAAAGUUUCAGGAAAAAAUCACUAGUUGAGGUCUUGAGUGGGUCAAGUGGAUUAUAAAUUGGAAAAGAUGAUAGGUAUGAAAAGCUGCUGAAAAUAGUUUGUAUUUCAGAAAAAAUAAGUUUUUGAAAACCAAAACUUAAAGUGAUUUUUAUAUUUGAAGGGAUUUAUAACUUCAAAAAGCAUCUCCAUGUUACCUUGCUAAGCUGGCCUACAUUUAAACUCUUCAAGUUAUCUUGCAUAAAGUGAAAUCUGUAUAUAAUAUUUGUUUGGUCUCUAAAAAGUAUACACUGUUUAUCUGCAUCUGCUCAAAUUCUUGAGAUUAACUUAUUGUGAGAGGAUAUUUUUCGGUACCUUUUUCGACUACUGCAAAUUUAUUUGUAAUUUAAUGUAUUUUAACAUUGCGAAUGUACAUUUUCUAAUAAAAUUAUUAUGUAUAUGUACCAUAAGCCUUAAAAGUAUUUACUCAUACUUUCAAUACAUAUUCAAGAGAUACCUACUAUGUACCAAUCACCAUGUCAAAAUCACAGAGCACCUCCCCUCAUGGGACUUACAUAUUGACAGGAACAUUAGACAUUAAUUAGUGAAGUGGUUGCACAAAUGAUUAUGUUUAAGGGAAGGGCGACGAGAGAGAUGUAUAGGAAACUAUGGGGAUGAUUAACAGAGGGUCUGAGCUGAACAGGAAUGUCAGGGACUGUUUUGCUGAGGAUAUAAUGGUUAACUGAGGCCUGGUGGAGAGAAAGGUUUGGACUGGUGCAUUUCAGGCCAAAGGCAUGGCAGGUGCAAAGCCCUGGAGGUGGUAAGAUAUUGGGGCUUUCAUGGAACCACAAAUAGAUCUAAGGUGGUUAGAGUACAGUGACUGAGAAAAAGUCUUAUUAGUUGAGGAUAUAGAGGGGCAAUUCAAGGUCUUGUAGACCUCGGGCGGUAGGUCUCCAGUGGUAAGAGGUAUUCUAACUUUACGGAUGGUUGGAGUUAGGAGUCUAAAGAAUGUCUUCAAGACUCUUUUUUCUUUAGUUCUACAUGCUUGACUUUAUUUUCAGGUACUUUCCAUUCUGUGGCAGGUUGGGCACUGUCAGCUCCAAUCUUGCAACAUCUUUGUAAGUCACAAUUCCAGAGAAAAUUAGCUCAGGCAGAAAUAUCAGAAGAGGCUCCAACUAGCCAACUUUAGCAUAUAUACCUAUCCCUGAACUGCCCAGAUGGGCAGGGAAUGGAAUCCUCUACUAACCCAGGCCUGGAUCCUGCGUCCAUUCUGGGAAUGCAAUUUGUAUGUGGAAGAGACAGGAGGGGAAGAACCUGGUCAGGCUUGUCUUAAUUACAUGGACUAAAAAGAUUUAAAACUGAAUGGAGGAGUUUCCAUCAAAGGAAGGUCUGUUGAGCUGACAAACAGAUGUUUAUUACUAUACCGUCACCUCCUGUUUUCUCAUCAUUGCAAUCGUAGAAAAUAUUACAUGCACCACUGUGGAAAAUAGAUGAAGUUGCUUGUCCCCAGCUUCUUCAGACAACAUAGGCUCCACCAAUCAACUCAGCUCUGAAUUGGUCAAUUUUCCAUUUAGGAGUAUAACGCAUUUGUGACAUACCAAUGUCAGGAAGCAUGAUACCAUAUUAGGUAUUUUGGAUUUAAGAGAAAUGGGAAGACAUUUAAGGUAAUGUGGUCUCUAAAAAAGAAACUUGUGCUCGUAGAAAUGUCUGAUUCCAGGUGCGGGGUAAAAUGAAGUUAAGACAUCUUGUGCCAGAAAGCAAGAGUGUUCUCAAAGACUACACAAGUCUUGCCAAAAGGACACAGGAGUCAAAUAAAGAGACUACUACUGGCCCAAAAUAGGGCAGUUAAAGGAUUGAAAAGAGUAUCUGUAGCUGAUUUAAACACAACAAAUAUGUGAAAAUCUAUGAGUUAAAAAUGAUAUUAAAAAUAAGAAAUGGGCUCCUGGUAUCUCAGUUGAGUGACCAACUCUUGGUUUCACUCAGGUCAUGAUUUCAGGGUCAUGAGAUUGAGCCCUCCAUUGGGCUCUGAGCUCAACAGGGAGUCUGCUUGAGGUCUCUCCCUGUGCCCUUCCCCAACGCUUGCUCUCUUUCUCUCUAAAAUAAAUAGGAAUGCCUGGGUGGCUGAGUCAGUUAAGCAUCUGCCUUCAGCUCAGGACAUGAUCUCUGGGUCCUGGGAUCGAGCCUGACUCCUUACUCAGCGGGGAGUCUGCUUCUCCCUCUCCCUCUGCUCAUGCUUUCUCCCCCCACCCCUUUCUCUCUGUCAAGUAAAUAAAUAAAAUCUUUAAAAAAAAAAAAAAAA
rnacentral:lncRNA from 1 species